UUCUGUUAAUGUUUUAUAUCUUUAAAAUGUUCCCGUUUUUCUACCAGGUAAACCAGAGGUGAGAGGAAGAAAGUGAAGUAAUUGUACAUGGAGGAAAUAAUACACGGGGCAGCAGAAUGUCAGAAAAUGCUGCCUGUUUCCCCAUCCAUUUCCUUCCUUUCUGAAUACACAGCCUACAUUUACCUGCUUCCCCUAUGGUAUACUAUACCCACGUGGAAAAUCCAGCAAAAUGUAAUCAAAAGUGAUUUGCACCACUUCAGGAACUGGGCAAUUAACAUCCUUCCAACACCCUGAUGCACAAAACCAUAGUGACUGAAGAUGACAAAGCUUCGCGGAGCCGCCUUCCUUUCCUGGGCAACACUGUGCUGCAAAAUGUGUUUAUGCAUCAGACUCCUAGACUGGUUGAGAGUGACACAGGAGCUCACAUCCUCGUACCCGCACCUCCACACCUUUCAUUAACAGUAGUGUAUGUACCUUGCACAAAGAGAGGAAAUGGGAGGUUGGAGUCCUCCGUUUCGGGAGAACCAGCAGGUUAG
rnacentral:lncRNA from 1 species